UACGGGGGGGGCAAGCGUUGUUCGGAAUUACUGGGCGUAAAGGGCUCGUAGGUGGCCAACUAAGUCGGACGUGAAAUCCCUCAGCUUAACUGGGGAACUGCGUCCGAUACUGGAUGGCUCGAGUUUGGGAGAGGGAUGCGGAAUUCCAGGUGUAGCGGUGAAAUGCGUAGAUAUCUGGAGGAACACCGGUGGCGAAGGCGGCAUCCUGGACCGGCAUUGACACUGAAAAGCGAAAGCCAGGGGAGCAAACGGG
rnacentral:rRNA from 1 species